UACGGAGGGGGUUAGCGUUGUUCGGAAUUACUGGGCGUAAAGCGCGCGUAGGCGGACUGGAAAGUUGGGGGUGAAAUCCCGGGGCUCAACCCCGGAACGGCCUCCAAAACUAUCAGUCUAGAGUUCGAGAGAGGUGAGUGGAAUUCCGAGUGUAGAGGUGAAAUUCGUAGAUAUUCGGAGGAAGACCAGUGGCGAAGGCGGCUCACUGGCUCGAUACUGACGCUGAGGUGCGAAAGCGUGGGGAGCAAACAGG
rnacentral:rRNA from 1 species